rnacentral:rRNA from 1 species
AGCUUAUUGUUUUUUAUAAUAGGUAUUUUCUGCUCAGUGUAAAAUAAACAGCCGCGGUAUUUUGACCGUGCAAAGGUAGCAUAAUCAUUUGUUCUUUAAUUGGGGACUGGAAUGAAGGAAAGUUUGAGAUUUUAUCUGUCUCUUUUUUAUGUUAUAAUUUGCUGUUUUUGUGAAGAAGCAGAGGUUUAAAAAAAAGACAAGAAGACCCUUUUAAGCUUUAUUUUUAAUUUUUAUUUUGUCUAUUUUAGUAUUUUAAUA